AAGCAUGAUGGGGGCAUCAUGCUAGUAAAUUCUUGAACCUCUUGUAAGUGUCGGGAAAAGAUUCUCCUUCUUUCAGUUUGUAACUGGAAAUCUCUUGCCUCUUUCU